CACGGGGCAUUCAUCUGCACAGUAUGAGGCUGUGAGCAGCGCAACCCUGAGCCAAGUGGAGUGAUAUUGAGAGGGGCUCACUUCUAAAUGUGGAAAGUGGUAAAAGCUGAAAAUACUGUGUAUGAGGAUACCACGUCUUAUCUAAAUCUAAAAUCGCAAAACAAACAUGUGCGUCUAAUCACUCACACACACACACAGAAGCUGUCUUUACGGACCCCGGCAUGGUCCCCACCCAUCUGCCUGACCCCAUUAGGGCUCACAGAGGCAGAAGGGGGGAAGCGAGGGGGUUCAUUAUUCUCCUAACCUCAUGGGACUUUGCUCACAGAGCGAGACAUCAGCAGCACGCCAGAGCUUUCACACAUGGUGGAGUGAGGAAGUCAGAAAAGAGCGGAAGAGCGAGGGACACAAACAAAGAUUAUGUGAAGCCACUU